ACGCACUUCACCCUCGGCGAAAAAAAAAAAACAAAAAAUGACCUUCAUUGUCAUUGGCUGUUGGAAUGCUUUGGAGCGUCUAUUCUCACGAUACACUGCUGUUUGUCGAAACGGAAAUGAGAUUAUUUCGAAUGAUUGGAACAAUAUGGGAUAAGGAUGUUCUUGGUGUGUAGCCCUUAUUCAUCUGAUGAUAUUUUGCCAAACAAGUGAUUCUAUUCGAAGACGACGACCACACUUCAAUUCUAGCUUGUAUAUAUUGUUAUCAUGGAAGACGGUGAUUGUUGGAAUACACACAACAUCCUCAACUUGCCUCUUAGUUGAUGGUGGUUUACGAGAUGCUGUAUAUACUAUUGAGGAAUAUUACCGUCCCUCUUCUGUAUAUAUGCUAUAAAAGAUUUUCCUGGUAACCCCAAAUCCUAUUUGAAGAUUGGAGCAUUCAUUUCCGAUAAGUAUCAAAACCCUUGGAAUAUUUUAUUGAACACUGCAUGGAAAAAAAAAAUAUAAUAUCUUUAACAAUUUU